rnacentral:rRNA from 1 species
AGUGAACGCUGGCGGUAGGCCUAACACAUGCAAGUCGAACGGCAGCACAGUAAGAGCUUGCUCUUACGGGUGGCGAGUGGCGGACGGGUGAGGAAUACAUCGAAAUCUACUUUUUCGUGGGGGAUAACGUAGGGAAACUUACGCUAAUACCGCAUACGACCUACGGGUGAAAGCAGGGGAUCUUCGGACCUUGCGCGAUUGAAUGCGCCGAUGUCGGAUUAGCUAGUUGGCGGGGUAAAGGCCCACCAAGGCGACGAUCCGUAGCUGGUCUGAGAGGAUGAUCAGCCACACUGGAACUGAGACACGGUCCAGACUCCUACGGGAGGCAGCAGUGGGGAAUAUUGGACAAUGGGCGCAAGCCUGAUCCAGCCAUACCGCGUGGGUGAAGAAGGCCUUCGGGUUGUAAAGCCCUUUUGUUGGGAAAGAAAAGCAGCAGGUUAAUACCCCGCUGUUCUGACGGUACCCAAAGAAUAAGCACCGGCUAACUUCGUG